GUAGGGAAUCUUCCACAAUGGACGCAAGUCUGAUGGAGCAACGCCGCGUGAGUGAAGAAGGCUUUCGGGUCGUAAAACUCUGUUAUUGAGAAGAACGUGCGUGACAGUAACUGGUCAUGCAGUGACGGUAUUCAAUCAGAAAGUCACGGCUAACUACGUGCCAGCAGCCGCGGUAAUACGUAGGUGGCAAGCGUUGUCCGGAUUUAUUGGGCGUAAAGCGAGUGCAGGCGGUCUUUUAAGUCUGAUGUGAAAGCCUUCGGCUUAACCGAAGAAGGGCAUCGGAAACUGGGAGACUUGAGUGCAGAAGAGGAGAGUGGAACUCCAUGUGUAGCGGUGAAAUGCGUAGAUAUAUGGAAGAACACCAGUGGCGAAGGCGGCUCUCUGGUCUGUAACUGACGCUGAGGCUCGAAAGCGUGGGUAGCAAACAGGAUUAGAUACCCUGG
rnacentral:rRNA from 1 species